rnacentral:siRNA from 1 species
UGUCUUCGUUUGAUGGGUUGCUC